GGGGAUAUGGCGAAAUCGGUAGACGCUACGGACUUAAUAAUAUAUAUUUCUUAAUAUAUAUUUUUCUUAAUAUAUAUUUCUAUAUUU
rnacentral:tRNA from 1 species